rnacentral:rRNA from 1 species
CAAGGAUUCCUCAGUAACGGCGAGCGAAGUGGGAAGAGCUCGAGCCUGAAAUCACUGGCAGUCACUGCCAGAGAAUUGUGGCCGGGAGAGGCAGCGGUGCCCCGACUGACGCUGUCGAAGUUGACCUGGAAAGGCACGUCGGAGAGGGUGAGAGCCCCGUGCGCGACACCGUCGGGAAGGGCCGCUACUGUCUUCGGAGAGUCGGGUUGUUUGGGAAUGCAGCCCAAAGUGGGUGGUAAACUCCAUCUAAAGCUAAAUACUGGCACGAGACCGAUAGCGAACAAGUACCAUGAGGGAAAGGUGAAAAGUACUUUGAAAAGAGAGUCAAAAAGACCGCAAAACCGUUAGGAGGGAAGCGAAUGCAGCUGAAGUGGUUCCCCUUCAGGCUCAGGAAGUGUCGGCUCGGCUUGCUGGCCCGGUGGAAGCCGCAAGGCGCUGCC